rnacentral:tRNA from 1 species
GCCUGGGUGGCUCAGUCGGUUGAGCUUCUGACUUCGGCUCAGGUCAUGAUCUCACGGUCUGUGAGUUCGAGCCCCACAUUGGGCU